rnacentral:rRNA from 1 species
UACGAAGGGGGCGAGCGUUGUUCGGAAUCACUGGGCGUAAAGGGCGCGUAGGCGGCCCUUCUUGUCGCGUGUGAAAGCCCCGGGCUCAACCUGGGAACGGCGCGCGAGACGGGAGGGCUGGAGUUCGGGAGAGGAGCGUGGAAUUCCCAGUGUAGAGGUGAAAUUCGUAGAUAUUGGGAAGAACACCGGUGGCGAAGGCGGCAUCCUGGACCGAGAUUGACGCUGAUGCGCGAAAGCCAGGGGAGCAAACGGGG